AGUGUGCUGGAAUCGCCCUUAGAGUUUGAUCCUGGCUCAGAUUGAACGCUGGCGGCAGGCCUAACACAUGCAAGUCGAGCGGAAACGAGUUAUUUGAACCUUCGGGGAACGAUAACGGCGUCGAGCGGCGGACGGGUGAGUAAUGCCUGGGAAAUUGCCCUGAUGUGGGGGAUAACCAUUGGAAACGAUGGCUAAUACCGCAUAAUAGCUUCGGCUCAAAGAGGGGGACCUUCGGGCCUCUCGCGUCAGGAUAUGCCCAGGUGGGAUUAGCUAGCUGGUGAGGUAAUGGCUCACCAGGGCGAAGAUGCCUAGGGGGUGUGAGAGCAUGGCCCCCACCACUGGGACUGAGACACUGCCCAGACAUCUACGGAUGGCUGCAGUCGAGAAUCUUUGGCAAUGCACGCAAGUGUGACCAAGCGACGCCGAGUGCUGGAUGAAGGCCUUCGGGUUGUAAACAGCUGUCAGAGGGGAUGAAGUUGUUGGGGGCUAUCCCCCUUCAUUGACAGAGCCUCAGAGGAAGCACGGGCUAAGUUCGUGCCAGCAGCCGCGGUAAUACGAACUGUGCGAACGUUAUUCGGAAUCACUGGGCUUAAAGGGUGCGUAGGCGGCAUCGAAAGUUGGUUG
rnacentral:rRNA from 1 species